AUCGCCCGGGGACCUUGUUAAAAUGCAGAUUCAGAAUCAAGGGCACAGGGCUUCCAGUUGUGGAUUGUGAUUCUACAUUUCUAACAAGCUCCUAGGAGAUGCUGA
rnacentral:pre_miRNA from 1 species